AAAAAUAUUAAGAAUCAUUUUUAGAAAGUAGAAAUUAAAAGGAGAAGAUUGAAAUUGGUCCCAUAAUAUUUGGACCAAUAAUGAGAGAGAUAUGAAUUUUUGAAAUGAAAUGGAAUGAAAAAAAUAAAAUGGAAAUUAAAAUCAGAAAUUAAAAAUAAGAAAAAUUGUGAAGCGUUGGAUCAAGAGCUCAUUAAUUGAGUUGGCGCAUCAAAC
rnacentral:lncRNA from 1 species